CGUCCGUUCAUAGAACGUAACAGCUGGCGAGUGAAGCGUCAAGAGCUCAGAUUUGAAAUCGUGCUUUGCCGCACGAGUUGUAGAUUGCAGGUUGGAGUCUGUGUGGAAGGCGGUGUCUAUGACCCUUGGAACAGGGCGACCAGGAGGGUGAGAGCCCCGUGGGAUGCCGGCGGAAGCAGUGAGGCCCUUCUGACGAGUCGAGUUGUUUGGGAAUGCAGCUCCAAGCGGGUGGUAAAUUCCAUCUAAGGCUAAAUACUGUCGAGAGACCGAUAGCGAACAAGUACUGUGAAGGAAAGAUGAAAAGCACUUUGAAAAGAGAGUGAAACAGCACGUGAAAUUGUUGAAAGGGAAGGGUAUUGCGCCCGACAUGGGGAUUGCGCACCGCUGCCUCUCGUGGGCGGCGCUCUGGGCUUUCCCUGGGCCAGCAUCGGUUCUUGCUGCAGGAGAAGGGGUUCUGGAACGGUGCUCUUCGGAGUGUUAUAGCCAGGGCCAGAUGCUGCGUGCGGGGACCCGAGACCGCGGCCGGGGAGGCCACGGAAGCCGGCAGAACGGGCCACACCGCCCGCCGGAACCCCGGACCAAAAGGCAGGGGGCGGCGGGGGGGGGGGAAAUUUUUUGCUUUUAAUUAUAUUUUGUGUGGUGGUGUGUUUGUUGUGGUGAUUGU
rnacentral:rRNA from 1 species